GAUGAACGCUGGCGGCGUGCUUAACACUUGCAAGUCGAACGAAGCGCUUUGGAAGCUUGCUUUCAAAGUGACUGAGUGGCGGACGGGUGAGUAACGCGUGGGUAACCUGCCUUAUACAGAGGGAUAACAGUUGGAAACGACUGCUAAUACCGCAUAAGCGCCCAGUGCUGCAUGGCACAGUGUGAAAACCUCCGGUGGUAUAAGAUGGACCCGCGUCUGAUUAGCUAGUUGGUGAGGUAACGGCUCACCAAGGCGACGAUCAGUAGCCGGCUUGAGAGAGUGAUCGGCCACAUUGGGACUGAGACACGGCCCAAACUCCUACGGGAGGCAGCAGUGGGGAAUAUUGCACAAUGGGGGAAACCCUGAUGCAGCAACGCCGCGUGAGUGAAGAAGUAUUUCGGUAUGUAAAGCUCUAUCAGCAGGGAAGAUAAUGACGGUACCUGACUAAGAAGCCCCGGCUAACUACGUGCCAGCAGCCGCCGUAACAC
rnacentral:rRNA from 1 species